AUACGUAUGGUGCAAGCGUUAUCCGGAUUUACUGGGUGUAAAGGGAGCGCAGGCGGCGCGGCAAGUCUGAUGUGAAAGCCCGGGGCUCAACCCCGGUACUGCAUUGGAAACUGUCGUGCUAGAGUGUCGGAGGGGUAAGUGGAAUUCCUAGUGUAGCGGUGAAAUGCGUAGAUAUUAGGAGGAACACCAGUGGCGAAGGCGGCUUACUGGACGAUAACUGACGCUGAGGCUCGAAGGCGUGGGUAUC
rnacentral:rRNA from 1 species